AUUGAACGCUGGCGGCAGGCUUAACACAUGCAAGUCGAGCGGGCGAGGUUGCCUCGGUAACUGAGCUAGCGGCGGACGGGUGAGUAAUGCUUAGGAAUCUGCCUAUUAGUGGGGGACGACAUUCCGAAAGGAAUGCUAAUACCGCAUACGCCCUACGGGGGAAAGCAGGGGAUCUUCGGACCCUGCGCUAAUAGAUGAGCCUAAGUCAGAUUAGCUAGUUGGUGGGGUAAAGGCCUACCAAGGCGACGAUCUGUAGCGGGUCUGAGAGGAUGAUCCGCCACACUGGGACUGAGACACGGCCCAGACUCCUACGGGAGGCAGCAGUGGGGAAUAUUGGACAAUGGGCGCAAGCCUGAUCCAGCCAUGCCGCGUGUGUGAAGAAGGCCUUUUGGUUGUAAAGCACUUUAAGCGAGGAGGAGGCUACUUGGAUUAAUACUCUGGGAUAGUGGACGUUACUCGCAGAAUAAGCACCGGCUAACUCUGUGCCAGCCGCCGCGGUAACAC
rnacentral:rRNA from 1 species